rnacentral:tRNA from 1 species
GCGGGAGUAAUUCAAUGGCAGAAUGCCACCCUUCCAAGGUGGACGUUGCCGGUUCGAACCCGGUCUCCCGCU